UUUACCCUGCGGUGUUCGUGCUUGGGAUGCAUGUCCCUCCUCCGAUAAUCAUGAUUGUAAAGAAGCAACCGCGCGAUUGAUUCGACGUCGGGCCUUCACUGGAAGGCGGAAGCUCAAUGCAGCCGCUUCACCUGUACAUAAACUGGUCGAAGGACCCCAUCCACACGGCAUUGCGGGGUAAUU
rnacentral:other from 1 species